UGAGGAAUAUUGGUCAAUGGUCGGGAGACUGAACCAGCCAAGCCGCGUGAGGGAAGACGGUCCUAUGGAUUGUAAACCUCUUUAGGCGGGGAGCAAUGCCGGGCACGCGUGCCCGGAGGGAGAGUACCCGCAGAAUAAGCAUCGGCUAACUCCGUGCC
rnacentral:rRNA from 1 species